CAGUAGCCACGGUAAUACCAGCAGCCCAAGUGGUGGUCGCGAUUAUUGGGCCUAAAGCGCUCGUAGCCGGGCCGGUAAGUCCCUUGUGAAAUCGGACGGCCUAACCGUUCGGCGUGCAAGGGAUACUGUCGGUCUUGAGGCCGGGAGACGUCCGAGGUACUCCGGGGGUAGCGGUGAAAUGUUCUGAUCCUCGGGGGACCACCGGUGGCGAAGGCGUUCGACGAGAACGGGCCUGACGGUGAGGGGCGAAGGCUAGGGGAGCAAACGGGAUUAGAUACCCCCGUAGUCCCUGUCUCUUAUA
rnacentral:rRNA from 1 species